rnacentral:rRNA from 1 species
AUUGAACGCUGGCGGCAGGCCUAACACAUGCAAGUCGAACGGUAACAGGAAGCAGCUUGCUGCUUCGCUGACGAGUGGCGGACGGGUGAGUAAUGUCUGGGAAGCUGCCUGAUGGAGGGGAUAACUACUGGAAACGGUAGCUAAUACCGCAUAAUGUCGCAAGACCAAAAGAGGGGGACCUUUCGGGGCCUCUUGCCAUCGGAUGUGCCCAGAUGGGAUUAGCUUGUUGGUGGGUUAACGGCUCACCAAGGCGACGAUCCCUAGCUGGUCUGAGAGGAUGACCAGCCACACUGGAACUGAGACACGGUCCAGACUCCUACGGGAGCAGCAGUGGGGAAUAUUGCACAAUGGGCGCAAGCCUGAUGCAGCCAUGCCGCGUGUAU